rnacentral:rRNA from 1 species
CCUACGGGAGGCAGCAGUGAGGAAUAUUGGUCAAUGGCCGUAGGGCUGAACCAGCCAAGUAGCGUGAGGGAUGACGGUCCUAUGGGUUGUAAACCUCUUUUGUCAGGGAGCAAAGGGCGCCACGUGUGGCGCUUUGCGAGUACCUGAAGAAAAAGCAUCGGCUAACUCCGUGCCAGCAGCCGCGGUAAUACGGAGGAUGCGAGCGUUAUCCGGAUUUAUUGGGUUUAAAGGGUGCGCAGGCGGAAUGUCAAGUCAGCGGUAAAAUUUCGGGGCUCAACCCCGUCGUGCCGUUGAAACUGGCGUUCUUGAGUGAGCGAGAAGUAUGUGGAAUGCGUGGUGUAGCGGUGAAAUGCAUAGAUAUCACGCAGAACUCCGAUUGCGAAGGCAGCAUACCGGAGCUCAACUGACGCUCAUGCACGAAAGCGUGGGUAUCGAACAGGAUUAGAUACCCUUGUAGUC